rnacentral:rRNA from 1 species
GAGUUUGAUCGUGGCUCAGGAUGAACGCUGGCGGCGUGCCUAACACAUGCAAGUCGAACGGAGCACUGAGACUUCGGUUUUUGUGCUUAGUGGCGGACGGGUGAGUAACGCGUGAGCAAUCUGCCUUUCAGAGGGGGAUAACGAUUGGAAACGAUCGCUAAUACCGCAUAACGUAUUUUUGGGGCAUCCUUUAAAUACCAAAGGAGCAAUCCGCUGAAAGAUGAGCUCGCGUCUGAUUAGAUAGUUGGUGAGGUAACGGCCCACCAAGUCGACGAUCAGUAGCCGGACUGAGAGGUUGAACGGCCACAUUGGGACUGAGACACGGCCCAGACUCCUACGGGAGGCAGCAGUGGGGAAUAUUGCGCAAUGGGGGCAACCCUGACGCAGCAACGCCGCGUGAUUGAAGAAGGUCUUCGGAUUGUAAAAAUCUUUUAUCAGGGACGAAGAAGUGACGGUACCUGAUGAAUAAGCUCCGGCUAACUACGUGCCAG